CCUCCGAUAGCUCAGUUGGAAGAGCGCAAGACUGUAAUUGGCUGCUAUCUUGAUGUCGCUGGUUCGAUCCCGGCUCGGAGGA
rnacentral:tRNA from 1 species